rnacentral:tRNA from 1 species
UGGGCCGUAGCCAAGUGGUAAGGCAUCGGGUUUUGGUCCCGUGUACCGCAGGUUCGAAUCCUGCCGGCCCAGCCA